UACGUAGGGGGCAAGCGGUUGUCCGGAUUUUAUUUGGGCGUAAAGCGCGUGUAGGCGGCUGGGUAGGUCUGCUGUGAAAACUUGAGGCUCAACCUCAAGAGGUCGGUGGAAACCAUCCAGCUAGAGUCCGGAAGAGGAGAAUGGAAUUUCCUGGUGUAGCGGUGAAAAUGCGCAGAUAUUCAGGAAGAACACCCGUGGCGAAAGGCGGUUCUCUGGGACGGUACUGACGCUGAGACGCGAAAGCGUGGGGAGCGAACAGG
rnacentral:rRNA from 1 species